UCCAGGAAGACACACAGCGGUGCAUUUGCGAACAUUCGUUGAUUUAAUUUACUGCAACAAAACAACACCAGUGUUAGAUGAGGAUGUUGUACAUCGUUUGUGUUUUGAAUGAUGAGUUAAAAUCUGUAAUUAAGCUGUAGUUUUUAUUUUCCAAACCGUGACUUAGAUUGACGGUGCAGAGAAUGACGCAGUUUCCUCCGACGUAUUCCCAGUAUCGCUUCUCGGCCUUUUGGCUAAGAUCAAGUGUAGUAUCUGUUCUUAUCAGUUUAAUAUCUGAUACGUCCCCUACCCGGGGACCAUAUAUUAAAUUGAUUUUUGGAACAGGGAGAUGGAAUAGGGGCUUGCUCCGUCCACUCCACGCAUCGACCUGGUAUUGCAGUACUUCCAGGAACGGUGCACCCCCACUAUAGAUGUUGAAAGUUAAUUUCAAAUAGAAAUAUGUUGUGUUCAGUGUGGUUGUCACAAAAAGGUCAUUGAGAUUAGACUUAUUUUCUCCCAUGUCGGUUUUGUUUAUUCAAACAAAGUUUAAAAGGCUUAUGUUUAAAAAAUAAAACCUGUGGAGAUUAAAACCUCUUUUUGUGAGAGACCUUGCUAAGACGACCACGUGAAACCAUAUGGUAUCACAGAGGAAGACCCCUAAAGACUAACUGCUGUGUGCCAAGGCAUUUUUUUUACAAGACAUAAGAGUUGGUUCGGUCUGGUUGACCCCAAACAUUCAGAUGAGCAACAGUAAUCAUCAGCAGCAAACUCGUGGAGAUUAAAAUCUCUUUUUGAGGGAACGACCACGUGAAACCAAAUGGUAUCACAGAGGAAGACCCCUGAUGACUAACUACUGUGUGUCAAGGCCUUUGAAGACCACAGAUGUUACUGUCAUUAUUUGUCUUCAAUCCGGGCCCAAAUAAGCAGACCAGCGACCGCCAUUAUCCAGCUGAGGAGUGACAUCAGCUGAUUGAACCACACCUGGGAUCCAGUGACUGAGCUGCAUAAAACCUCCCUCACCUCCAUUCAAACUCACUCUCUCUCUGACAGGAGCUGUUCUGUCCCGAGUUUUUUUUUUUGGUCACUUUCAUGCAUAGCUUUGGGUUGUUUUUGUGUUAAAUUCAUUUCAGUCACCACACAGUUGUCUCCCUGUUUUUGAGCCAAGCUUUAACAAAUGGGGGCUCCACACCUUAGUAGAACCAGUUUACUCUCAUGUAGCGUUGCUGGGCAGAGACUGGUGAUUCUUUGUGAAUGAAGACGCAUGCUGUAGUGUCGGUGAGUGGCGCUGUGUGCGCGACAAUGUGUGUGGUGAUUGUUUCUGGAGUUAAUAAGUGACUUUCGGUGAGUGAAGUAAUUCUGUAAUUUGCUCAGAAGUAAAAGUUUGUCGCCGGGCUGUGAUGCUGGUGUUUGUGUCUGAGUUCUGUUUGUGCAGCUGCACAGUUGUGGCAGGUCGCUGUGGUUCUGUCCCUGUUAGGCUUCAGAGCAGAUUCCCUUGGAGUCCGUUGGGGGGUUUGGUAGUGUGGUGAGAACGUGGUUUGGAGCAGUUGUCUCGGGGGCACAUCCGAGGCUGCAGGUGGGGUCGCCGAUCCUCGGUUGCUUCGCCGGGCCUGCGGGAUCUUAGUGCAUAAAUACCCGCCACAAGUACCACCUGAAGACUAGGGGGGAGUUCAGUCAGGUUCUGGUGAGGCAGUUAGAGGGACGGAGACACGGUGAUCGAUCAGCUGUUUGAGCUGCAGAGGUUAAACUGUUAGAGAUCAGCUGUGAUGCUGGUGUCCAUCAGGUUUGCAUCAGUUUAUUUCCUGCAGGUCUGUUUUCUGAGUGGUUAAAAUAGUAAAAUGGUGUGUGUGUCUCUGUGUGAGUGUACGUGUGUGUCUUUUGGCAAAUAUGUACUGUUAAUAACGUUACUUUCACAUUGAAAAUACGAUGUCAUAUCGGGGAAAUAAGCACCGAGAGUUUAUUUUUCCUAUCGACAUGAGCGCGAACUGUGUGCGUGCGUGUGUGAGAUUAAGUGGUACGCAAAAUAUUUCGCCAAGGUUGACAGGUCUGCAACAUGGAUGCUGGCGAUAAAAGAUUAAAAGACAGCAUGAAACAUAUCUUUAAAAAAAUCUAUUUGAUGCAGAGGUUCUCCAGCCUGAAGUUUGGAUUGUCAAGGCUGGUUCAGACUCCUGUGAGUGAAGCGGCUCUGAGCAGCUCGACUUAACAUUUGAGCAGCUUGAUAGAUUACUGUUGUUUCAAAUUCAGCUUAAAAGGCUUGAGCUAGAGGAGCACAGAUUAGAAGUUCUGCUGGUGUCGUGGGUCAGACUCCUGGGGGUUCAUCUGGUCUUUGACAAUCACUGGUCAGCGGUUGGUUCCUCAGUUUUGUGAACAAAAUCUGGAUGCAUUUUUUUUCUCUUUUUAUGCGGUUGGCUGAGGCCCGAGGCUGGUCUGAUGCUGAGAGGACGUUACUCCUGCAGCGUGUUCUGACAGGUUAGGCUCAGGAGGUGUAUUGUGCUGUCAGCGUGGAGGACAGUAAAGUCUACACUUCAAAGCUGCUGUAUUAAAAACAUACGAGUUGGUACCACAAGCAGAGGGAGAAUUCUGGUCAGCAGUUUGCCAGAGAGCUGACAACUCCUCUGUCGUUGGUGUUCUUGACUGAAUGUUCAUACGUACGGCAUUUUGUGUGAUUAAAUAAUCCUGCAGCAGUUGAAAGACUCAGUUCCUCCUCACAUUGCUGUCUGUAUAGGUGAGCAAAAGGUAAAGACGGCACAGAAGACCUCCCUCAUUUCCAUUCAAGCUCUCUCUCUCUCUGACAGCUCAUGGUUGUGAAAAUACAAACUAUUUACAAUUUGUUUAUGAACUUUAACUAUUUACGGAUCACUUUAUUGAAUAAAUAAAUUGUAAUACACGAGUUUAGAGAAUUUAAGAGUCGUCAUUGAACAAAGUUGAUAAAAACUCACGCUAAUUGAAAUUAUUUACAGUAUAUGCAUAGCAAACCUAAUGUAUUCAGAUAAAUUACAGCAUAUUUACAAAUGUACAAAGCAACCUUACAUACUUACAACAUAUUUACACUUCAUUGCCCCAAACUGUCAGCGACUGAGGUGAAGUGUUCGUAGCUGUUGUAAACUCUGUUGUCCAGACCCUUAGAUGGGGACAUCAUUGUUUCUGAGCAGAAAACCCUUUUUUUUAUACUUCCUGUGUCCCUGCGUUGGCUCCCUAUAAAGCUUACAUGAUGGUAAGUUUUGCACUCGUGACACUUUGGCUCCAAUUUGAGACGGGUAGUCCUUGAGCUUACAUUUGUAUAACGUAGCUCUUGCCCAGUCAGGAGUCACAGAUGGGUCAGCAGUUUGAGUUGGAGGGUCUGAAGCAGGCACCAUGGGCGGUCCAGAGGGGCCAGCAACCUCAGAGACUGCAGGUAGUAUGGGUAUUUUAGAGGGUCCUGCAGUCUUUGGGGCUGCUGUGGCUACAUCGAGGGAGGAUGCAGGCCUGGUGAUGGUGGUGGGGGUCUUCCUAACUGGCGGUGGCAGAAGAGGCUGUGGAGGUCGAGGCCGGGACAUAGGCAUCGCUGUGUCCGUUCUCGUCUUUAACACCUUUGUCCCGGCCAUGCUGAGCCUGUGCACAUAUUGAGAUACAGGGUAGUCUGGUGGGGGGAGGACUGCUGGCUGGUGUGGUGCUGGAGGAAGGUCUGCACAUGACACAGAUGUCAAUUUUGUGAUGAUGGACGGCUGUCUGGUGGCGUGGAGGUUGAGAAGCCUCUCCUGGUGGCGGAUAAAGUCCCGCACAGUCUUGAUAUUAAUUUUUGGCAGAGGAAAGCCUGCUCUGCUCAAGACUGGAUCCUCCACCAACAUCCGAUGCUGGAUCCUCUCAUAGGCCUUCACGAUGCUGACCUUGUCAGGGCCUGAGAGAGAACCCCUCUGAGCGCAGCCACAGCAGUUUCACCAGCACGUACAUUAGCCUGUUGUUCUGAGCGCUGAUGUCUUGUUGUGCUGGUGCAUAGCGCUUUGCCAUUUUCACCCUCUGUACAACAGCAGCAUCAACAAGAUCAUCGCGCUUUGUACGGCAGUACAAAGUGUUGCCCCAGUGCGUCCUGUAUAGCCGGUUGAAGCGCUGUUGCUGCUUGUCGUGUUCCUCCACUGCUUUCCAGGCUUCCAGUGUUUUGUUCCUCUGCUCUGUGGUGAGUGACAGCUUGUCCUCUGUCAGUCCAAUCUCCACCAGCACAGAGCAGAACGUUUCCAGCUUUUGAAAGCCAGGGAGAGGGUUCUGACUGCAGGCGUUCUCCUGUAAAAAAAAUCAUGCAAAUGUGGUUAUGUUUAAAUGCGUACGUCAUCUUUUGUCAGCAGCCAGUGCCGUGUAUUUUAUUGGAGCGGACACACACUGACAAGCAUCACAACAUAUUGUACUAUAAAAGAUCAUAGCUGAAAGUAUGCCACAUCAUAUACACAGUGAAACUAAAUAUUAUAGUACUGUUGUGUAGCAAUAUAACAGAAUAUCAUACUGUAUCACUAGACUAUGCUGCUACCAGUGUGGUGUAUUUUAUUCUAGCAGACACAAAGUUACUCACCAAGGCAGGAGGGUGAGCAGAGGAGGUUUCCCCACUGGUGAGUGUGAUGUGGGCCAGGUCAGCAUCCAGGUUCUGUGCCUUCCCAUCGCCUUAAUAAGCCUCAUCAGGAUCAGGCUGCCCAGGCUGAAGAGACAAUCCCUCCAGGUUUCAGUAAGGUCAUGAGGAGUGUGGUGUACAGGUCCUUAUUAUGGUGAAGGUAGUCCUCAGUGUGACUCUCCUGUAUCUGUCUCCACACUUUGACCACAGUGUUUCCCUCAUUCCGGUCUCUCAGAAGGUGCACAACAUUCUUGUGGUUUAAAAACCAGAUACUUGUUAGCAUGGUUAAGUAAAAUGCAGAUUUGAUUAAGUGAAGCACAAAUAGCUGAUCACAAGAAUUCCUGACAUCUGUUAGGGAAUUCUGCGAUGUCGAAAGAAGAAUCAGGAGGCAAACUCAGAGACUCUUGAGCCUCAGAAGGCUUAGGUUAAGAAAAAGGUUUACUGAUAUGAGGAGAAGUGAUGUGAACGCUGGCAGCAUCAAUUCUGAGGAGUCUCUCUGGCCUUGGGGUAUAUAUGUAGUUGUGAAGCCUACCGUGUUUAGGUUACAAUCCAAAUACGGUGGUUGGUUUGCCUGUUCAGAAGCGCCAUCUAGAUAAUAACUUUGUUUUCUUUACAAACAGUUGUCUUUAUGUUGUCUCCAGCAAGCGUCUGUCUGUACCUCCACACUCCAACAGGGCGCCACACAAAGACACAGCUCCGGACAAAGAGCUGUGGAGCCUUUGAUGCAGGCUGGAGGUUCUGGUGGGUUAAACCACAUGCGGUCUGACUUCACCUGUUUCCUCUUCAACAGGCCUUUGUUGUCCCUGUACAUUUGUAUUUGAACAGCCAGGGUAUGUCAGCUGAUGGAAUGCCGUUGGGAUUUUCCCACCGACACAUCUAACCCUCUAGCUCCACCUGGAAAUCGUUUAACACAUAAAACAUUUUGCUAUUAUUGUGUACAAAAUAAUGUCAACUCAUAAUACAGGGUUUCUCCAGGGCAUUGAAAAGCAUUAAGUCAUUAAAUUGAUUUUGUGAAAGUUAAGGCCUUAAAUGGCGUUAAACAUAAUUUGAUUCUCAGUGGCUUUAAAAAUUCUUUCUGCAGUUUUCAAGAAAAAUAUUUGAUAGCAAUGACAUAAAAAUAUGUAAUUAUAGACUGUGAUUCAUCAGACAUGUGCGUCUGAGGAAACAUGCCGAAGCAUUGCGAUAUUUGUUCCAGCCGGUCAGGUACGAUUGCCAAAAACUGCGUGUUUGGAAAGUGGCCGGCAGGCUGGACCAGGUGGAGGACAGCUGGGAAAUGGGGAAAUGCAAAUUCCAGCAAGAAUGGCUAGAAAACGUGGAUUUCAGAGAAUGACUGCAGCCCGUUGGUAGUCAGGGGAGGUUUCCGGAUUCAGAAAUAGUGAAAUGUAGGGACAGUUUUCAUGUAAAAAUCAUCUUUUACAAACAAGCAAACCUUGUUGAAUUCACGGUCGUGGCAUAAAAUGUUUGCAGUACAGCAUUAAAUUUGACUGAUUUCUGCAGAAACCCUGUAGUAGAAUUAUUUCCCUUUGAAUACCUUUUGAAACACCUUUAGAUUGAUUGCAUAUAAUAUGAUUAUCACUUACAGGCAAGUCAGGUGAUUCCAGGGAAUAAUCAUGACCCUGGCUCAUGGACAGGGACACUGUGGCUUUCUUCUUGUGCUGCUUGGGCUGUACAUCAGGCUGGAAUCUCAAACCCUUUCUGACUGUAGAGACACUUGUCAAUGUUGGCCUCGAGGAUUGUGGAGACCUGUGGGAAACUCUGUACUCAUCCAGGUUGUCUUUGAUCCACUUGUUCCCUAUUUUUCCUUUUUUUUUUUUGUGAAUCUCUGGCCUCUGCUCCGUGUUUGUUACCUAUUCUGUAAUCAUUAAAUAUAAUAAGUAAUAGUUUAGUACAGUCCUCACUAUUGUCACUGCAACUGUGGAAAGUAAAGAAGUUGAGUCAUGAACACUGAAAACAGGAAGAGUUUUAAAGGUAAUCUAUUUGAAUGACAAUUUUAUUUUACAUUCAUAGCCUACAAUGGUAAUAAAUAAUAUAUGCUUACUACUUCAUGUAGCCCACAAGCCAGUUGGAUGAGGCGCUCACAUGCUGUCCAAAUGGCACCACCAGCUUGGACAUGGAGAGUCCCUCUGCUCACAGGAGCCUCUCAGUGUGGGUCAGGGCAGAUGCUUGGUUCAGCAGCUCCUGUGGUGGUUUGGGGAAGGACAUGUUUGUCACGAUAACUCCUUGCCGCCUCAGUUGCCACCAGAAGUGCCUGCUGUUGGUCUGCAGGGGCCCCUGGGUGGGUGACUCGAAUGACUGGGGUCGUCAUCAGAAGUCCUGUAUGGAGCAGCAGCAUCAUAGUUAUUGAUUACACCUGGAGGCCUGAGACUGAGCUCCAGAUUACACCUGGCUCUCAUGAGGACUGAUUAUCUUGAAGCUCUGAUCCUCCACACUUUGGACUGGUCUGCCACUACAACUCCUCCUCCCACAACAUCCCAGCAAUCACAUGAGUGUAUAUCUGCAACCAAGACUCUCUGUCGGAGCAGCUGGGAUUUCCUGUGACCAGUUGGCCUUGGUGUCGCUGUGGGUUUCAUUCAUGGUCCUGUAGGUUCUGUAGUCACUGAGGGGUGACUACGGACAUUUAGAGCUUCUGUUGGCAGGUGAUAAUUUGGUGUGGAGGCAGUGGCUGCUGUUAGAAGUCCGCCAACUUCAUGAGAAGCGGUUAUUUGAGUCUUUGCGCAUUGUGUUUAAUAUCUGUGUUUAGAGACAUGUUUGGCUAGUCUUGUGGAUGUUGCUGCUGUGUUGGCUGGGGAGUUUAGUUGUUUUGUUAGUAUUUAUAUAAUUUGUGAACUCUGUUAGUCUUUGUUUGGUCAAGUGUAUAAUCACAGGCAGCUGUAUCCAAACCACCUGAUGCAUUGAAUCAUUGUGGCUGUUGGGAAUGAGUAUGAAAAACCAAAAAAAAUGUAUGAUUGAAUAAUUUCUAUAGAUAAAUGAUCACAUAUGUGUAUAAUAAAAUUUAUUUUCAUGUAUUCUGUGUGUGUAAAUUUUCCCCAAAAUGGUAGUAUCCUAUAAUGUGGCAGGUUGUGUAAUAAUGUCUUUCUGUCACCUUAGGAAAAUGGCAUGGCCUUACGCAGGCAGAGGACAGAGAAAGUGCUUCUGGAACUAGGAAGAUUGUACUGAAUAUGCUUGUGUAACUUAGACAAGGAUGUACAGGAAAGGGGAGAUUUUAUUCAGAAGUAACAUGUUUUCAACAGUUUUUGGUUUUAAAUGAUUCCUUUUUUUGACACACAAACACCUCACCUUUGAAUAAAAUAAACAGUGAAAAAUACAAUUCUUGAUAAGCAAACCUAAUGUGUCUGUAAUAAUGUUAGGUUUAGCUUACCUUAUUAGGAGUUAAAAAUCAAAAAUGUUCUCACAUGGGAAAUUGACCACUUCCUGGUUGGCUCCAUCCUAUCACCUAUCUUUCUCUCCUCACUCUCCUAAAUCUCCAAACUCACUCUCUAAACCAUAUCCAAACUCUAGUAUCCAGACUAUCCAAACUUUCGACUGACCACAACUCUAUCAAAACCCACAUUUUGAACGGAGCCUGAGGGGUUUAUUCUGCUGUCAGACCUCACGGCAAAAUCUGAACCACUUUCCGAAGCAGUCACAUGGUUCAGCCAGGCAACGACGCUUCGGACGUCAUCAUUUUUGGCUCCUCCCCUAAAUUAAGCAAGUUUCGAUCAUAGACUGUAUAUAUAGUGGACGUAGCAUCUGGCUCCAGAAUUGAAGCCAACCCAGAAGUGUCAAAAACUUGCAAUAUCACGCCGUCCGCUAGGGUUGGCUCCAAAAAGCUUUUUCUCCAUAGACCCCAAUUCAUUUUUGGAAAAAAUAAAAUUUGAUAGACUGAUGUUCUACAGCUCAGGAUUUUUUUCCCCGUUAGUUUUCAUAGUCAAAAUGAGAGAUCAGGUGGCCGAUCUUAAAAUCUAAAUCAAUACUGAAUUUUAAAUAAAUCGUUAAAGUUGGCGGAGCCAGGGGGCGUGGCUAUACUUGAUAGACAGCAACAGAAGCCUCUGCGGUAAAACGUGGGCGGGAUAAGAGAGUUCUCAGCCAAUCCUGCCCCUCGUUGCUCUUCAGUCCAGCCAGUUUGAUGACGCUUUUUACGUCACUGGCUCCAAAAAAUCCAAAACGGCGACCAGGAAGUAGCAAAAUCCGGGCUUCAUUUUCUCUAUGGUUGAAACCAACGGGUGACGUCACGGUUAGUUUACGCCUGGUCUCGAUACACGCUUCGUGGAAACGCCCCCUUCAUUACUCGACAACGCUUCGAAGCCUCGGCACAUCUCGUAACCAGGGGCGUAUUUAGUCAUUUGGGGGCCCAAGGCAAAUCCAGUCAUUGGGGCCCUUGACAUCCUCGUACUGCACUGACAAAAGUUUUAUUCUCACCUCAACACGUCUUUAGUGUGGCAGCAGCAGCAGGUUCAGCCUGGAUGAAGUUGUAUGUUGCGUUUCUAAAAAAAAAAAAAAAAAAAAAAGACCACAAAAGAUAACGAUCAAUUAUGAGAACAAAAAUUUUACCAGCAUAAUUUCAUCAAAUUCACCUUUUGUAUUUCCGUCCUCCCUACUUUCUCUGUGAUGGUUUUGUCUCCUUUUUUCUUUGUGAUGUUUUCUCCUCUCCCUCUUUCUCGCUCUCCCUUCUUUGUGAUGGUUUUGUCUCCAUUUUUCCUUCUCUUUCUCCCUUCUUUCUCUGAUGUUUUUUCUCCCUUUUUCUUUCUUUCUCCCUUCUUUCUCCGUGAUAGUUUUGUCUUCCUUUUUUCUUUGUGAUGUUUUGUUCUUUCCCUCUUUCCUUCUCUUUCUCCCCUUUUCUCUGGUUUUGUCUCUUUUGUCUUUGUGAUGUUUUCUUCUCUCCGAUGUUUUUGUCUCCAUUUUUCCUUCUCUUUCUCCCUUCUUUCUCUGUGAUGGUUUUGUCUCCUUUUUCUUUGUGAUGUUUUCUUCUCUCCCUCUUUCUUGCUCUCCCUUCUUUCUCUGUGAUGGUUUUGUCUCCUUUUUUCUUUGUGAUGUUUUCUUCUCUCCCUUCUUUCUCUGAUGUUUUUGUCUCCCUUUUUCCUUCUCUUUCUCCCUUCUUUCUCUGUGAUAGUUUUGUCUUCUUUUUUCUUUGUGAUGUUUUGUUCUUUCCCUCUUUCCUUCUUUCUCCCCUUUUCUCUGUGACGGUUUUGUCUCCCUUUUUUCUUUGUGAUGUUUUCUUCUCUCCCUCUUUCUUGCUCUCCCUUCUUUCUCUCUGAUGUUUUUGUCUCCCUUUUUCCUUCUCUUUCUCUGAUGUUUUUUUCUCCCUUUUUCCUUCUCUUUCUCCCUUCUUUCUCUGUGAUAGUUUUCUUCUUUUUUUCUUUGUGAUGUUUUGUUCUUUCCCUCUUUCCUUCUUUCUCCCCUUUUCUCUGUGAUGGUUUUGUCUCCCUUUUGUCUUUGUGAUGUUUUCUUCUCUCCCUUUUCUUAAAAUUAUCACUAAAAUUUAACCUUUCGAGUCUUUGCCUCAGCAAACUUUGUAAUGAGUCGCUCCAUAUCCAGUGACUUUCUGACUUCCUGCUCAAUGGAGAGUACUGCAAGUGCUGACAGCCUGUCCUGGGACAUAGUUGACCUCAGGUAGGUUUUAAUCAUUUUUAGUUUUGAAAAACUUCUCUCACCUGAAGCCACUGUGGCAGGGAGAGUGAGAAGAAGUCUUGAGAGCGAUGCUGAGAUUUGGAUAUACGUCAAGUUGUAAUUACAACUAUCUGACAGCCUAAGUUUCUAGUUGCAUAACCGUUUUCAUAUAUUUCCCCAUGUCCAGUGAAUAAUAUUUUUCACUAAACAAAGAUUUUGAAUCAACUAAAUAUUGUGAAAUGGAGGGGAUAAUUAUCUAAGAACUAUCUCAAUACUAUUGCUGUGAUUGAAAAUAACAUUAAUCAACAUUUAAUAUAGUUUACCAUCUCGACCGAUUUAAUACUCACAUCUUCAUGAAAAGAAUCCCUUGCUUCACUCGCCACAUCUCCUCGGCUGACACUGACAGCAGAGCUGCUACUGACAGCAGCAUCUAGCUCUAGCUGUUGCAGAGAAUCCCCACUCGGUGUCACCGUGAAAAAGGUUGAUACCUUCGGUAGUUUUGAUAAAAACUGUUUAUUUUCUUCUCGCCUUCUUCUCUUCUCCGCUCCACUCAGAUAACUCCGCUUCAUCUUUCUCACUGCUCACCCACUCUCUCAAGACCGCGCCAACAAGUUUGUUUUGCUGCCGUCUUCCUGAAUCAAGCCUGCGCGUGCGCAGUAACAUGGAAUAGUCCAUUGCGCGAGACAGGAGGGGGGAUAACGAUCAUGAUAGUGAUAAAUCAACCAUUUUUAUUUAUUUUUAAGCGUGCAAAUUAAGACUAAAACAAUAUUAAUUGCUUCAAAUAAAAAAAACACCUUUAUUAAUCAGCUUUCACGAGACGUUUGGGGGCCCCUGGAAAUCUUGGGGCCCCAGGCAAUUGCCUGUGUUUGCCUAAUGGUAAGUCCGCCUCUGCUCGUAACAUCACUCGUAAAUGCACUUUAAUGCAGAUGGAUGACACUGAGUCUGUUUUAAUGAGACUGAGUUCAGAUGUGUAGCUCUGUCAUUAAAUAGGAAGUUAUUUCUCAGAAUUCACAGAGAAAAGUCUAAAAUGUUUGCAAGGUUAACGUCCCACAUGUUGGCUCAGCUAAAGCUAACUCUCUCCAACUUCUGGAUCUCUGGAGUUGCUUGUUGUUCAGAUAUCUUGUUAGAGGUGCUGAAGCUCAGAAAGUCUGAGAUGUUUGUUCAAAAUCAGCUCAUUGUCAAGUCUGAUCUGAAGUGUCCUCUUUAGUUUGAACUUUCCCUAAACUUAGGAGUGAAUGACAGAGCAGCACAUCCAGGCUCAGUCUCAUUUAUCUACAUAAAUGAGAUUAAACUUCAGUGUCAUUCAUUGAUGUUAAAGUGCAGUUUUUCACGUUUGUUGCUCAUGCUCCCGACCAAACCAGUCCAGGUGGAAGAGGAUGUGAAGAGAAGCUCCAGCGGAAGAAUAGCACACAUUUACGUUGGAAAUAGAUGUCUUUAAUUAGACAUUGUCAGACAAAAGUUGGAUUUCCCUUUAAUGAUGUUCAAAUCUUUGAGUGUUUUGUUGAUGUUGGUUUUUAAAUGUUUUCUGACAUUCGGCCCCAAAGAUUCAAACCUUCUACAGCUCGCAAGUCGCAACAAUUCACAAAUUAUCACCCAUCCAAAUAAUCAGAAUCAGGUGUUCCAAUCACUUCCAUGGCCACAGGUGUAUCAAAUCAAGCCCCUGGGCAUGCAGACUGCUUUUACAAACAUUAGUGAAAGAAUGGGUCGCUCUCAGGAGCUCAGUGAAUUCCAGCGUGGAACUGUGAUAGGAUGCCACCUGUGCAACAAAUCCAGUUGUGACAUUUCCUCUCUCCUAAAUAUUCCACAGUCAACUGUCAGCUGUAUUAUAAGAAAGUGGAAGUGUGUGGGAACGACAGCAGCUCAGCCACCAAGUGGUCGGCCACGUAAACUGAUGGAGCGGGGUCAGCGGAUGCUGAGGCGCAUAGUGCCAAGAGGUGGCCGACUUUCUGCAGAGUCAAUGGCUACAGACCUUCAAACUUCAUGUGGCCUUCAGAUUAGCUCAAGAACAGAGCUUCAGCAGAGAGCUUCAUGGAAUGAGUUUCCAUGGAAGAGCGGCUCCAUCCAAGCCGUACAUCACCCAGUGCAAUGCAAAGUGUGGGAUGCAGUGGUAUAAAGCACGCCGCCACUGGACUCUAGAGCAGUGGAGACGCUUUCUGUGGAGUGACCAAUCACGCUUCUCUAUCUGGCAAUCUGAUGGACCAGUCUGGUUUUGGCGGUUGCCAGGAGAACGACACUUGUCGGACUGCAUUGUGCCAAGUGUAAAAUUUGGUGGAGGGGAGAUUAUGGACCGACGUCAUAUUGAACCCUAUGGAUUAGGAAUGGGAUGUCACUGACGUUCAUGUGCGGGUCAAGGCAGGUGAGUGAAUACUUUUGGCAAUAUAGUCUAUCUUUCUGACUAAACUAAGAUAAAAAGUGAAAAACUGCCUGAUUCCUGCAUCAUGAAUGUAAAUCUUUUUGUUUUUUAUGACAGUAAACUGAAUAUAUUUGGGUUUGACAUUUUGUAAAUCAAAACAACAAAUGAAUUACUGGAGAAAACAAUCAACAGAUUAAUGGACAAAGAAUGUGUUUUCCAACAUAUAUGUCUGAAUUCCUCCAACAUUACAAGAUGCAUACAAUUUACUUUUAUUUAUAGAAUGCCAAUUACAGGUCAAAUUGUCUCAAGACGCUUUAUGUUUUAUAGAUUUUUUUGUCAUAUUUAAAAUAUGAGAUCCAAAAUGUGACCAAAAACGUCAUAGUUUAGUAUGUCAUCCAAAAUGUGAUCAAAAUCGUCAUAGUUUUGUAUGUAAUCCAAAAUUUGAACAAAAAUGUCAUAUUUUAGUACGUUGUCCAAAAUGUCAUAAAAUGUCAUAGUUUAGUAUGUCGUCCAAAAUGUGAUCAAAAUCGUCAUAGUUUUGUAUGUAAUCCAAAAUUUGAACAAAAAUGUCAUAUUUUAGUAUGUCGUCCAAAAUGUGACUAACACGUCAGUUUACUAUGUUGUUCAAAAUGUGACCAACACGUCAUAGUUUAAUAUGUCGUCCAAAAUGUGACCAAAAACAUAAUAUUUUAGUAUGUCGUACAAAAUGUCAUAAAACGUCGUAGUUUAGUAUGUCAUCCAAAAUGUGUAAAAAACGUCAUGGUUUAUUAUGUCUUUCAAAAUGUCAUGAAACAUCGUAGUUUAGUAUGUCGUUCAAAAUGUUGUACAACAGGCCCUGUUAUAGCUCAACGGGUUAAGCGGGCGACCCACGUACACGGGCUGGUCCCUGACGCAGUGGCCCGUGUUCAAUUCCUGCUUGCGGCCCUUUGCUGCAUGUCUUCUCACUGUGACUAUCACAAAAAAGACCAAAAUGUCAUAGUUUAGUAUGUCACAAAAAACAUAAUAAUUUAGUACAUCGUCCAAAAUGUCACCAACACGUCAUAGUUUAGUAUGUUGUCCAAAAUGUGACCAACACGUCAUAGUUUACGAUGUCGUUCAAAAUGUGACCAAAAUAUCAUAGUUUCGUAUGUCGUCCAAAAUAUGACCAAAAACAUAUUUUAGUAUGUCGUACAAAAUGUCAUAAAACAUCAUAGUUUAGUAUGUCGUACAAAAUGUGACCAAAAAUGUCAUACUUUAGUAUGUCAUCCAAAAUGUGACCAAACGUCAUAGUUUAGUAUGUCGUACAAAAUAUGACCAAAAACGUCAUAGUUUUGCAUGUCGACAAAAAUGUGACCAAAAACAUCAUAGUUUAGUAUGUCUUCCAAAAUGCCAUGAAAAACCUCAUAGUUUAGUACGUUCUCUAAAAUAUGAGCAAAAACGUCAUAGUUUAGUAUGUCGUCCAAAAUGUGACUAAAACGUCAUAGUUUAGUAUGUCGUCCAAAAUGUGACUAAAACGUCAUAGUUUAGUAUGUCGUCUAAAUAGUCACCAAAAACGUCAUAGUUUAAUAGGUCGUCCAAAAUGUGACUAAAACGUCAUAGUUUAGUAUAUCGUCCAAAAUGUGACUAAAACGUCAUAGUUUAGUAUGUCGUCCAAAAUGUCACCAAAAACGUCAUAGUUUAGUAGGUCGUCCAAAAUAACACCAAAAACGUAAUAAUUUAAUGUCGUCCAAAAUGUGACUAAAACGUCAUAGUUUAGUAUGUCGUCUAAAAUGUCACCAAAAACGUCAUAGUUUAGUAUGUCGUCCAAAAUGUGACUAAAACGUCAUAGUUUAGUAGGUCGUCCAAAAUGUGACUAAAACGUCAUAGUUUAGUAUGUCGUCUAAAAUGUCACCAAAAACGUCAUAGUUUAGUAUGUCGUCCAAAAUGUGACCAAAAAUGUCAUAGUUUAGUAUGUCGUCUAAAAUGUCACCAAAAACGUCAUAGUUUAAUAGGUCGUCCAAAAUGUGACUAAAACGUCAUAGUUUAGUAGGUCGUCCAAAAUGUCACCAAAAACGUCAUAGUUUAGUAUGUCGUCCAAAAUGUGACUAAAAUGUCAUAGUUUAGUGUGUCGUCCAAAAUGUGACCAAAAAUGUCAUAGUUUAGUAUGUCGUCUAAAAUGUCACCAAAAACGUCAUAGUUUAAUAGGUCGUCCAAAAUGUGACUAAAACGUCAUAGUUUAGUAUGUCGUCCAAAAUGUCACCAAAAACGUCAUAGUUUAGUAGGUCGUCCAAAAUGUGACUAAAACGUCAUAGUUUAGUAUGUCGUCCAAAAUGUCACCAAAAACGUCAUAGUUUAGUAGGUCGUCCAAAAUGUGACUUAAACGUCAUAGUUUAGUAUGUCGUCUAAAAUGUCACCAAAAACGUCAUAGUUUAAUAGGUCGUCCAAAAUGUGACUAAAACGUCAUAGUUUAGUAUGUCGUCCAAAAUGUCACCAAAAACGUCAUAGUUUAGUAUGUCGUCCAAAAUGUGACUAAAACGUCAUAGUUUAGUGUGUCGUCCAAAAUGUGACCAAAAAUGUCAUAGUUUAGUAUGUCGUCUAAAAUGUCACCAAAAACGUCAUAGUUUAAUAGGUCGUCCAAAAUGUCACCAAAAACGUCAUAGUUUAGUAGGUCGUCCAAAAUAUCACCAAAAACGUCAUAGUUUAGUAUGUCGUCCAAAAUGUGACUAAAACGUCAUAGUUUAGUGUGUCGUCCAAAAUGUGACCAAAAAUGUCAUAGUUUAGUAUGUCGUCUAAAAUGUCACCAAAAACGUCAUAGUUUAAUAGGUCGUCCAAAAUGUGACUAAAACGUCAUAGUUUAGUAUGUCGUCCAAAAUGUCACCAAAAACGUCAUAGUUUAGUAUGUCGUCCAAAAUGUGACUAAAACGUCAUAGUUUAGUGUGUCGUCCAAAAUGUGACCAAAAAUGUCAUAGUUUAGUAUGUCGUCUAAAAUGUCACCAAAAACGUCAUAGUUUAAUAGGUCGUCCAAAAUGUGACUAAAACGUCAUAGUUUAGUAUGUCGUCCAAAAUGUCACCAAAAACGUCAUAGUUUAGUAGGUCGUCCAAAAUGUGACUAAAACGUCAUAGUUUAGUAUGUCGUCCAAAAUGUCACCAAAAACGUCAUAGUUUAGUAGGUCGUCCAAAAUGUGACUUAAACGUCAUAGUUUAGUAUGUCGUCUAAAAUGUCACCAAAAACGUCAUAGUUUAAUAGGUCGUCCAAAAUGUGACUAAAACGUCAUAGUUUAGUAUGUCGUCCAAAAUGUCACCAAAAACGUCAUAGUUUAGUAUGUCGUCUAAAAUGUCACCAAAAACAUCAUAGUUUAGUAGGUCGUCCAAAAUGUGACUAAAACGUCAUAGUUUAGUAUGUCGUCCAAAAUUUGAUCAAAAAUGUCAUAGUUUUGUAUGUCGUCCAGAAUGUCAUAAAACAUCAUAGUUUAGUAUGUCGUCCAAAAUGUCACCAAAAACGUCAUAGUUUAGUAUAUCGUCCAAAAUGUGACCAAAAACGUAAUAAUUUAGUGUGUCGUCCAAAAUGUCACCAAAAACGUCAUAGAUUUGUAUGUCCUCCAAAAUUUGAUCAAAAACAUCAUAGUUUAGUAUGUCGUCCAAAAUUUGAUCAAAAAUGUCAUAGUUUUGUAUGUCGUCCAAAAUGUCACCAAAAACGUAAUAAUUUAGUAUGUUGUCCAAAAUGUGUAAAAAACAUCAUAGUUUUGUAUGUUGUCCAAAAUUUGAACAAAAAUGUCAUAGUUUAGUAUGUCGUCCAAAAUGUCACCAAAAACGUCAUAGUUUAGUAGGUCGUCCAAAAUGUGACUAAAACGUCAUAGUUUAGUAUAUCGUCCAAAAUGUGACUAAAACGUCAUAGUUUAGUAUGUCGUCUAAAAUGUCACCAAAAACGUCAUAGUUUAAUAGGUCGUCCAAAAUGUGACUAAAACGUCAUAGUUUAGUAUGUCGUCCAAAAUGUCACCAAAAACGUCAUAGUUUAGUAGGUCGUCCAAAAUGUGGCUAAAACGUCAUAGUUUAGUCGGUCGUCCAAAAUGUGACUAAAACGUCAUAGUUUAGUGUGUCGUCCAAAAUGUGACCGAAAAUGUCAUAGUUUAGUCGGUCGUCCAAAAUGUGGCUAAAACGUCAUAGUUUAGUAGGUCGUCCAAAAUGUGACUAAAACGUCAUAGUUUAGUAUAUCGUCCAAAAUGUGACUAAAACGUCAUAGUUUAGUAUGUCGUCCAAAAUGUCACCAAAAACGUCAUAGUUUAGUAUGUCGUCUAAAAUGUCACCAAAAACAUCAUAGUUUAGUAGGUCGUCCAAAAUGUGACUAAAACGUCAUAGUUUAGUAUGUCGUCCAAAAUUUGAUCAAAAAUGUCAUAGUUUUGUAUGUCGUCCAGAAUGUCAUAAAACAUCAUAGUUUAGUAUGUCGUCCAAAAUGUCACCAAAAACGUCAUAGUUUAGUAUAUCGUCCAAAAUGUGACCAAAAACGUAAUAAUUUAGUGUGUCGUCCAAAAUGUCACCAAAAACGUCAUAGAUUUGUAUGUCCUCCAAAAUUUGAUCAAAAACAUCAUAGUUUAGUAUGUCGUCCAAAAUUUGAUCAAAAAUGUCAUAGUUUUGUAUGUCGUCCAAAAUGUCACCAAAAACGUAAUAAUUUAGUAUGUUGUCCAAAAUGUGUAAAAAACAUCAUAGUUUUGUAUGUUGUCCAAAAUUUGAACAAAAAUGUCAUAGUUUAGUAUGUCGUCCAAAAUGUCACCAAAAACGUCAUAGUUUAGUAGGUCGUCCAAAAUGUGACUAAAACGUCAUAGUUUAGUGUGUCGUCCAAAAUGUGACCGAAAAUGUCAUAGUUUAGUAUGUCGUCUAAAAUGUCACCAAAAACGUCAUAGUUUAAUAGGUCGUCCAAAAUGUGACUAAAACGUCAUAGUUUAGUAUGUCGUCCAAAAUGUGACCAAAAAUGUCAUAGUUUAAUAGGUCGUCCAAAAUGUGACUAAAACGUCAUAGUUUAGUAUGUCGUCCAAAAUGUGACCAAAAAUGUCAUAGUUUAGUGUGUCGUCCAAAAUGUGACCAAAAAUGUCAUAGUUUAAUAGGUCGUCCAAAAUGUGACUAAAACGUCAUAGUUUAGUAGGUCGUCCAAAAUGUGACUAAAACGUCAUAGUUUAGUAUGUCGUCCAAAAUGUCACCAAAAACGUAAUAAUUUAGUAUGUUGUCCAAAAUGUGUAAAAACAUCAUAGUUUUGUAUGUUAUCCAAAAUUUGAACAAAAAUGUCAUAGUUUAGUAUGUCGUCCAAAAUGUGACCAAAAACGUAAUAAUUUAGUGUGUCGUCCAAAAUGUGACUAAAACGUCAUAGUUUAGUAUGUCGUCCAAAAUGUGACCAAAAAUGUCAUAGUUUAGUAUGUCGUCCACAAUGUGACUAAAACGUCAUAGUUUAGUGUGUCGUCCAAAAUGUGACCAAAAAUGUCAUAGUUUAAUAGGUCGUCCAAAAUGUGACUAAAACGUCAUAGUUUAGUAUAUCGUCCAAAAUGUGACUAAAACGUCAUAGUUUAGUAUGUCGUCCAAAAUGUGACCAAAAAUGUCAUAGUUUAGUAUGUCGUCCACAAUGUGACUAAAACGUCAUAGUUUAGUGUGUCGUCCAAAAUGUGACCAAAAAUGUCAUAGUUUAAUAGGUCGUCCAAAAUGUGACUAAAACGUCAUAGUUUAGUAUAUCGUCCAAAAUGUGACCAAAAAUGUCAUAGUUUAGUAUGUCGUCUAAAAUGUCACCAAAAACGUCAUAGUUUAAUAGGUCGUCCAAAAUGUGACUAAAACGUCAUAGUUUAGUAUGUCGUCCAAAAUGUCACCAAAAACGUAAUAAUUUAGUAUGUUGUCCAAAAUGUGUAAAAAACAUCAUAGUUUUGUAUGUCGUCCAAAAUGUGACUAAAACGUCAUAGUUUAGUGUGUCGUCCAAAAUUUGAUCAAAAACGUCAUAGUUUUGUAUGUCGUCCAGAAUGUCAUAAAAAAGUCAGUUGAAUCUAUGAUGUGUUUUUGUGAUAAAAUGAGAGUUUCAGGACAGGAACACAUUUCAGUGCAUUUAGAAGAACGACAGUAAACUCAGCCUUGAUUUUUUAUUUUCUUAGAACAAAACAACUCUCCAUCUGCAUAUCAGACACGGAGACUCAGAACUGAAUAGGCAGCAAUUAAAAUAACACAACAAAGGAAAGUGAUAUAUAAUAAAAGUUUCAAAAGACAACUUUUACAAAACCAUGUUGUCCACUGCCACUGAACCACCUGAGCAUAAAACCAGUUCUUUCUCGUAUGCUGUCAGGUUACUGUAGAAGCAUAAUACAAAAAGUAAAAAGGACAACUUUAAGAUUGAUGACACACAGGAACUGAUACUCUAGAAACCACAUCUGGGGCAUAAAUAUCAAAACUUUAAAUGCCUGGUAGCAUCUAUCACGUCUGCUUAAUAUACCGAAUCGGAGGAGUUAUCUCUUUAGGCAUCACUUAUGAAAGAUUCAGAGGUUUUGAAAAUCAAUCUACCCCAGGUGUGAUACAAGCAGUCAUGGUCUAAAUACACGUGAACAUGGGAAUGGUGGACCGAUCAUCAUCAUCUUCAUCUGGCUACAACGGGACGCUCAGUUGGCGUGCUGAACGGUGGAGAAGCACAGCUUGAGGGUGUAGGGGUAGGGACCGGCUGGAAGGAACACAAACGACAAACAUCAAAAAUGAACACGUUGCAGCUGCAAUAUAAAGUGGAUUAGUAUGCUGUGAUAUCAGUGAUUGACUUAAUUCUAGUCAUCUUUUGUGUAGAUAAAGGAAAGUUCUCAUCUAACUUGAGCUCUUUGCAUCAUGAUGUAUGAAGUCCCGCAAGAGUCACAGUUAAAGUGUUGGAUUUCCGCUCCCUCACAUUAUUUUGUAUGUUCCUUGUGAUCCAUGUGAAUAGUUUUUUUGGUCCGGUUAAAACUCUCUGCCUGCUGUUUCUGUUUAACUGCUUUUUUUGGGUUCAAUCUGCUGCUUUGGAUAAGUCCAAGUGUUAGGUUUUUUUUCCCCCAAAUAUAAAAUUGGUUCAAUUUAUCUUCAUGUAUUUUGUGUUAUUUUCAUCAGGCUAUCAUUGUUACAGUGUGUAGAGUUAAGGUUGUGCACUUCAUUGGAGCAGUUUACUAGAAUCUGUCAGAUAUUAGCCAUAUUCAUGCUUUGCUGCUUAACCUUUUAACUGCUAUAUGUCGGAUGUUAAAAAAGCCACUAAACUUAGCGUUAACUGUAGAAACCAGCAUUUUUGAUUUGAUUUGAUUUUUUUUUUAAUUUUCCUCAAUAGACACGGGGGGGGGGGGGGGGGGGGGGAAUGAUAAACACAAAAAAAGGUUUAACGUUCAUUAUAAAUGCUCAGUCAGAAUUAUAGGUCAAAAGACCCGAUGACCUGCAGAGUCAGUAACUUCCUUUAAAUCACUUCUGCAAACACACUUUUAUGUGAAGUUUACUUUUAGCUUUCACUAGUUUCUGUGUUUUAUUCUGCAUUUAUGUCCUGUUUAUUUUAGAUGUUGUGUUUUAUUCUAAUUUUAGCUGCAUGCUUCUUUGGUGUGAUGUCUUCUCUCCAAUGUUUUUGAAUUUAUAACUUUAACCCUCAGUCUUAUUCUUUAAUUUCUAAACUGCCUAGUUCCGUUGAUACGGGUGCUAAUGUAGCUAAUUAUUCAUUUAUUAUCAUUUGUCGUUCUGUGACGAGUUUCAAUCUAUUUCUGCGUCUGUCUGUAUCCUGAUGCCUGAAUGACCUCUGUAUAUGUGAGAUGUGAGGCUGGUCCUUACCUGCGUUUUUCAUCUGGUAGUGGUUCAUCAGUGCCAGAGCCUCCAUGGCGUCGUUGAUGGACUCCCACUCCAGCAGACCUGAAGCGCUGCGAUCGCUGGGAGCUGCACCGCCUGGUUGGAACAGACACACAACCGGAGGUCCUCAACACAUUCCUACAGUCGUUCUGGGUUAAGAACUGAUCAUUUUUAGAAAAAUGCCAGUCAAGUUCAAGAUACACCAACAUCUAGAGAACCACCCUUUAUGUCCAGUUACUUACUUUUUCCUGUGAACAUCUUGACGUUAACGGGGCUCUUGACACCGAUCUCCUCACAGAUCUGGAAAGACAACUUCUAUUAGGGACUGACAACGUUGUAUUCUAUCACUGGCAGCUUUCUGUUGUAAUGCAGUAAAGUAGAAUCCAGGAGAAAGCCUAUUUCUGCAUCUGUUCUCGUUGUUCUUCUUACAGACCUGAGAGAAAACCUCCGGCGUGACGUCCGGCUGGGCGUUGAAGAAGUGCAGCACGUUGCUCGGGUGCUGGAUGCGGUUCUUCGCUGCCUGCUCUGGGGAGGUGAACCGGUUGUUCCUGGAGCCGUGGAAGUCCUUGAAGCUGCUCGUUCCGUCGUCCAGCUCGUAGCACUGACCGGGAACGAUGGCCUGCUGCUUGGAGACGCUGAGGAGCGGGACGGUCGACACGUUUCAAAUUAAAGUUCUGUGGAAUAAUCUGUUAGAACAGCUUUGCCCUUUAUCUGUUGUCUAAAAUAUACGAUCUAGAUUUCUGUAAAAAUAAACUGAUCACAUAAACAGUGAUUUUCAUGACAUGUGAAGCAGAGAAAAUGUUUAAAACUGUAUGAGAGCAUCACUCAGACCCCUGGAACUAAACAUCAAAUCUGGAUCUUCACACCAACUUAGUUUGAAAGACAAGAGUUCUCUGAACAUUUACAAGUGAUGUGGCUGUUAGAAAACUCAACAUUUACAGCUGUAUUCUCAUGCUUUCUUGGAAGCAGUCAACAAAUGAGGCUUCACAGGCACCACAAAAAUUAAACUGUUGGAUUUUGUUCUGUUCUUUGCUGGUUCCAAUUGGAAAGAGAGAGAAAAAAAAGACAAAUUCAAAAAUACAGAGGUGAACAAAAAUAUUGAUAGCAGCAGUUCUUUAUGCUAACACUUUACUAAAAUACUGUGCAGCUGAGAAGUCGUAUGAAAUGAUGUUUGUUGUGUCAGAACUUAAAGAAAGAAAGAAAGAAAAAAAGAGUGCUUCAUGGCCAAUGAUGCACAUUAACUCUCUUUGUAAAAACUCAGAAACUGGGAGAACUUUUGAAGAUUUGGUUGUUUCCAUCAAUUCUUGGAAAUGUUUAGAAAAAUGUAUUCUGGAGAAACGGCCAGUGUAGCGUUUAUUGGAUUCUAUGGCUUUAUAUUUACAUCUUGCUGAUGGUUCUUGCUAUAUGAUCCAACAUGCAGCAUUGUUAUGUGACGUAUGCUGCGCUGCUUAGAUUAAAUAUUACACAUGUAGUUUCUACGUAGGGAAUGAAACAAUAAGGUUCGAUGUAAACAGGAAGAUAUGAGAUGUACAGAUAAGUUACUGUUCAAAAGUCUGGGCUCACUUAGAAAUAUUCUAAUUUCUACUGAUGUCAAGAGAAGUGACACCAACAGAGCAGCAGUUUGUGCAAGAAAUGCAGCAUCAGUUCUGAGGAUUCGCUCUGAUUUUCAGGUGUAAACUACUGUUCCAAAGUUUGUGGUCACGUAGAAUUAUCCUAAUCUUUGAAAGAACAACAUUUUUUUCCAAUGAAGAUAACAUUAAAUGAAUGAUAAAUCCAGUCUAGACAAUGUUAAUGCGGUAAAUGACUGUUCUAGCUGGAAAUGUUUAAUGGAAUAUCUCCAUAGGGGUACAGAGGAACAUUUCCAGCAACCAUCACUCCUGUGUUCUAAUGCUACAUUGUGUUAGCUAAUGGUGCUGAAAGGCUCAUUGAUGAUUAGAAAACCCUUGUGCAGUUAUGUUAGCACAUGGAAAAUAUGGAAUUGUCUGGAUGAACCCAAACUUUUGAACAGUGGUGUAUGUAUGUAGUUAAACCUCAUUCUACUCAUUUUCAGCCAUUAUUUGACUGUUCUUGUGUAUUUGUUUUCUUUGUCUUUAUGAUACCGUGGCAUGUCUGAAAUAAAUCAAAUAAAUAGUACACAUGUAGCUAUCCGUGCUUAGGUGUCAAAUAUGCUCUGAAUAAAAGUCUGAAACCCAGA